rnacentral:tRNA from 1 species
GGCGCGGUGGCCGAGGAGUUAGGCAAUGGUCUGCAAAACCAUGUACACGGGUGCGAAUCCCGUCCGUGCCUCCA